GUUUUUACCGCCUCUUUCAUUUUAGGGUUCCUUCUCUUCCUCUUCUCUGCAGAAAAGGCGAUCGAUCAAAACAUCAAAAAAUGGGGUGAUUUAGAUCAUUAACAGUGAGGGUUUACUAAUAGUUAGUUCGUCUAAGAGAAGGGUUAAGAUCAGUUAGUCGUAGCAGUGGUUUGGUAACGUUAAUGCUGUUUAUGUGAAGAGAACAGAGCUUCGAACGGUUGAAUACUUACAAGAUCAAGUCACAAUGUACGCAAACAUAAUGAGGAAAUAUGUGAAGAACCCAGUGAGAAGAUUUAGGGUUGAAGAAUCUGAAACAAACAAGGUUAGGUUUUUUGAUAAUGUUAGUGUCAAUUGUGGGGGAUUAAAUGGUUUUUGUGAUGUUGUUCAUGCUGCUUAUCAGUUACCACCAAUUAAGAAGGUUAACCUAACCUGGUUCAGUGAUACAGACCCAUUUUACAUUGGUAGUAAUGAUGAAUUUUAUGAAAUGUGGGAUAAAGGAGUAGUUGAAGAUGAUGGGUAUAUUUAUCUUUACAUGAAUGUUACCCACAUGAAGGUUCCUCUUACUGAUGAAUUCCAUGAAAGUUCUGGUGUGUCAGUUGCACAGAGUUGUUAUUCAACACCUCAUAAGGCAAAAACUACUUCAUUUCUACACAUUGACAGAGAUGCACCACCAGUCAAUCUUGACACAUCUAGUUUCUUAACACCUAGGAAGAGGUUAUUGUAUAGUAAAUCACCUGAGCUAUUAAGGAGAAGUCCCAGGUUGGUGUCUAAGUCUAUUGCUGCAGUUAUUGGGAGUGCUAAGAAGUCCUUAUUUGUUAAUAUGGAUGAUGAUGAGGUUGUAGAUGCUGAAAUAUCAGUUGAAUUAAGACUUUCACAGUUGGAGUAUGAAAACAAUAUACAACUGACAAAUAAUGAUAUAGAUGUGUGUCAUCCCAUUGAUGAUUGUAGAAGCCACAUUGUGAUGAUGCAGAAAUGGGUAUUGAAGUGUAUACAGAAUUUGUCAACAACUAUUUUGGUGGGGUGGACUCUUUUGAUUUCUUACAUCCAAAACUAUAUAAGAAAAAGAAUAUGAAACAAGUAAUGAAAAAAAUUGUGAUGGUAUUGAGAAUGAUGACCCAAAAGGAAAGACAACAGUUGUUGAUGAACCAUCUGAUGCUGACAGUGGGGAUAGCUCUAGUAGCUCUGAUUCUGAAGUUGAAGAAGGUGCUUUAUCAGUACAAAAUGUUGCAGAGGAUGAUGAGGCGAGAACAGUUUGGAUCCAUCAGUAUGAGCAAGUUUGGGAGCCACAUGUAGAAGAUGUUGAAAGAACAUGUGACUUUGAUGAUGAUACUGGUAAUGGUGAACAGUUUAUAGAUGUUGAUAUAAUUUUUGUGGGUAUGGAAUUUAUGGAUAGGAAAGAUUUUAAGAACCACUUAAGGGGAUAUGCAGUCAACAAAAAAUUUCAGUACAAGUUGAGGCCCAAUGAUGCAGAAAGGAUUAAGGUUAAUUGCAAGUAUAACAAGUCUUAGAAUUGUAAAUUUUUUAUAUAUGCAAGUGUUAGAAGUCAUGAACCUACUUUCAUAAUCAGAAAGAUGAAUUUGGAGCAUACAUGUGUCACAGAAGGUGUAACCAUAAAUAAGACAGCAAAUGCAGAAUUUGUAGCACAAUUUUUGUAUGACAAGUUGAAGAAUGGAGAUCCAAUAUCAGUUCCAUAUACUUUGCAAGAUCAGUUCCACAACUCUCAUAAUACCAGUGUUCCAUAUCAUGUGGCUUGGAGAGCUAGAACUAAGACAUUGGAAAGAGUAAAUGAAAGUUAUGAUGAUUCAUAUAAACUGGUUCCAGCCUUUUGUGACAUGGUGGAAUAAACCAACCCUGGAUCUUUAACAAACUACACAUAUGGAAGUGUUGAUGGAUGCUUUGAGUCCAUGAAAAUUGAUUUUACAGCACCACUGAAAGGAUUUCAUGAUGGAUGUAGAAAUGUUGUUGGAUUUGAUGCUUGCCAUUUGACUGGAAAAAAUGGUGGGUGUCUGAUGGCAGCAACUGCUUUGGAUGCAGAAAAUAGAAUAGUGCCAUUAGGUAUUAUGGUAACUAGAAAUGAAGUAGGUGAGAACUGGUACCUGUUUUUGAAAUGGUUGAAGCCAUACAUUAUCAAUCACCCUAGAGGAAAGUUAACUUUUAUCUCAGACAGACAAAAGGGCUUGUUAGAGUCCAUUUCUGAAUUAUUUCCAUACCAUUUUCAAAGAUAUUGUUUCAGAAAUAUUACAAAGGUUCAAAGCUACAUCAACUUGUCUGCAGUGCUGCUCUAUGUUACAAGGAAAGACAUUGGAAGGCUAAUAUGGAUGAGCUGUUGAAGUUGUCCCCAUCUGCUGCUGAGUAUAUGAUGAGGGAAAAUCCAGAACAAUGGUCUAGGGCCUUCUAUGACCAAUCCACUAGUUCUGAGCACACUAACAAUAAAUUUUGUGAGUCCUUCAACAACAUGGUUAACCCAAUGAGAGACAAGCCCAUAUGUACUCUUGGAAUGAUGUAUGGUCAACUCAUCAUGGGUAUGUUUUAUAAAAGAAGAGCUGAGGCUGAUAAGUUAGAGCUUGGACAGUUGGUGCCCAGUGUUUUGAAUUUGAUUAAGAAGAUAGAAAACUGCACACAUCACUUGAGAGUUAAUGAAGCUGUCUAUGGGAGGUUUUAUGAGGUGAGGAACAUUGAAACCAAUACUCUGUUUCAAGUUGACAUUGUUAAGAAGACUUUCACAUGUGUUCAAUGGCAACUUAGAGGAAUCCCUUGCAUACAUGUUGUAUGUGUAUUGAUGGAUAUGAGAAUCAACUAUGUUGAUUAUUGUGACAAGUGUUAUCUUGUUGAUGCACUGAGAGCUACAUAUGCUCCUGAGAUGGGUCUACUACUAUGCAUAGAAGAGUGGGAUGAGCCAGAAGACAUGGUGGUUAUCAUACCUCCUAUUGACAUCAGGAAACCAGGGAGGCCUUGCAAGAAAAGGAAAAGGGCUUAUGAUGAAGGUCACACUGAGAAGAAAGUAAUAAGUUGUACCAUAUGCAAGUCAAUUGGACACAACAGGAGAACAUGUGCUGGUGCACCUGUUGGGUAUAAUCCAAAAGCAAAGAGGCAGAGAACCAUGGUUCAAGGUGGAUCUCACUCCACUUCUUAUCCAGAUUCAGUUGAGCUUAGUACCAGCAGGAGGGCUAGAGGAGGAAGGAGAGGAAGAAGAGGAGCUGCAUCAUCUUCAUCUGUUGCUGCAUCAUCAUCUCAACCUACAAAUAAUUUUGCUCCUGGUGCAUCAUCAUCUUCAACUGCAGGUGGCAGAGGUUCAAGAGGUUGUAGAGGUGCAAGAGGUGGCAGUGGAAUGCAAGUACAUCAAACACUGUCACAAAGCAUUGCAGGUGUUGGUGGGAUCUCCAAUUUGCUUGCAUAAAUCUGCCAUCUGUUUUACAUUGGAUCUUGCAGCAUUGAAAAUAGCAUCAGACAACCAUUGAAACUCAAGACAGUUGGAGCAUUUUAGGGUUGGUUCUUCCAUGGAAGUUGUUGUGCAUAUGGUUCUUGUCACCACAAGCAAAGCAGGAAUGGGGAGUUGGGGGAUGAACUGGAAAUUCUUUUUUUGUUAGUGGCAUCUGCAAACCACUCAAAGUAUGAGCAGAUUGAGCAUCGCAAGAACUUCUCUCCAACAUGAUCAUCAGUUUGAGCUUUCAACAACUUCCUCACUCCAUUACAAGGUAUAUAAAUAAAAGAACAAUUGAAAUCAGACCGUUGGAAACGGUCUAAUUUUCCAGUCACAAAAUCUUUGCCACGUCAGUGAAUCUCCACGUCACUGACUCUCCACGUCACUGAGUCUCCACGUCACCGAGUCUCAAACAGGUUGGGUUAAAUGGUUAACUGCAGUUUAAGAACUGCAGUUGAAAUGAAGGGUAUUUUGGAGAAAUCUAAUCCCGUUUUUCCCCCAACUGUUAUCUCGGCCACAGUGUGACCAUUUUGUAAUCAAUUAAUAAAAGUAUGAUCUAUUUGUAAACCAAUUAACAAAAGUAGGACCUUUUUGUUUAUGACCCUUAUAAGAAUUCGUUAAUUAUCAGUGACUUUUCAGUA